rnacentral:rRNA from 1 species
AUUGCAGCUGCAACUCGCCNGUAUGAAGUCGGAAUUGCUAGUAAUCGUGGAUCAGCAUGCCACGGUGAAUACGUUCCCGGGCCUUGUACACACCGCCCGUCACACCAUGGGAGUCGGUAACACCCGAAGCCUGUAGUCUAACCGCAAGGAGGACGCAGUCGAAGGUGGGAUUGAUGACUGGGGUGAAGUCGUAACAAGGUAGC